AAACAGAUCAUCAGCCAACAGCCUCUCCUUGAACCCACCAAACUGAAGCAACCACCGGAAAAUUCCCGACUUCUCCAAGUCUAAAAACCUGGAAACCACAGCACCAGGAAUUCUGCCGGCUUGGAUCGCAGCCACCAAGUCGUUAGGCAAAGUCUCCAUGGUCCGCUUCGAUUCCGUUAACACCAUCAUCGCCUCCUUCCUAUUCCUAUUCCCCGCAUUAUCACCAUCCUCAUCACUGCCACUGUUAUUACCAUUGUUAUCGUCGUUGCCGCCACCACCGCCCCCGGAAGGGGUGCGGUUAUUGAAGCCGCCAUCUCCGCCAGAUAAGGACGCAGAAGGAACGAAGAGCGGGAAAAAGUUAGUGUGGUGGUGGCGGAGGGAGAGAGAGGAGGGGGAGUGGGAGGAGAGGGAGAGGGAGA
rnacentral:misc_RNA from 1 species